CCCCCUUCCUCCUCCGCGAGCCAACUCCUCCGCCGUGAGAUCUCGCCGUCGAGCUGCUGAUCUCACCGUCGACCCCUUUCUCCUCCUCGAGCCAACUCUUCCAACUCCAGCCCCUCCCCUCCCCCAACUCCAGCCCCUCCCCGUUCGACGCCGACGGCAGCUGGUUCGAGCUCUGGAUCGGGGGAUGCGACGGCUCAGAGGAAGAAUAAGAGGCCAAAGUGAACUGCCAAAGCUAGGCCAAGAUGUGGAGAUAGCACACGGCAGUGAAGAGAGGAGGUACACGCGGUGACAAGAGGAGGAGAUUGCAUAGAACGCGGGCAUCAAAAAUAACCCCUCGAGCCUAAAAGAGAACCUGGAACUUACAGCUCGAGGCCACACUUUCUACAAAAUUUAUUAGAACCUGGAGCUAAAAGAGAACCCGAUGUAAUUUGCUCUGUUUUUGUCUGGGUAUUUCUUGCAAUGAUGUAGAUGUGUAUGUAUAUUUAAUGGUUUUGUUAUGUAAAAAUCACAUCUACUGCUGGAUGAAUAUGUUGUAGUUAAUAAUGUUUAGUGUACUGAUCGUUCUUGCUGACUGGUGUUGUUAACAAUGGUUUGGAAUGUGAUGCUCUCCCUGUCUUGACAA